rnacentral:rRNA from 1 species
UACGUAGGUGGCAAGCGUUGUCCGGAUUUACUGGGUGUAAAGGGCGUGCAGCCGGGUCUGCAAGUCAGGCGUGAAAUCCAAGGGCUUAACCCUUGAACUGCGUUUGAAACUGUAGAUCUUGAGUGCCGGAGGGGCAAUCGGAAUUCCUAGUGUAGCGGUGAAAUGCGUAGAUAUUAGGAGGAACACCAGUGGCGAAGGCGGAUUGCUGGACGGCAACUGACGGUGAGGCGCGAAAGCCAGGGGAGCGAAC